AUCUGCCCGAUGGAGGGGGAUAACUACUGGAAACGGUGGCUAAUACCGCAUAAUCUCGAAGGAGCAAAGAGGGGGACCUUCGGGCCUUGUGCUAUCGGAUGUGCCCAUAUGGGAUUAGCUAGUAGGUGGGGUAAUGGCUCACCUAGGCGACGAUCCCUAGCUGGUCUGAGAGGAUGAUCAGCCACACUGGAACUGAGACACGGCCCAGACUCCUACGGGAGGCAGCAGUGGGGAAUAUUGCACAAUGGGCGCAAGCCUGAUGCAGCCAUGCCGCGUGUAUGAAGAAGGCCUUCGGGUUGUAAAGUACUUUCAGCCGGGAGGAAGGCGUUGAGGCUAAUAUCCUCAGCGAUUGACGUUACUGGCAGAAGAAGCACCGGCUAACUCCGUGCCAGCAGCCGCGGGUAAUACGGAG
rnacentral:rRNA from 1 species